GACGAAGGGGGCUAGCGUUGUUCGGAAUUACUGGGCGUAAAGGGCGCGUAGGCGGGCGUACCCAAGUCAGAUGUGAAAAGUCCUGGGCUUAACCUGGGGACUGCAUUUGAUACUGGGUUGCUUGAAUCGGGAGAGGAUAGGCGGAAUUCCCAGUGUAGAGGUGAAAUUCGUAGAUAUUCGGAAGAACACCAGUGGCGAAGGCGACUGACGUGGACAGAUAUUGACGCUGAGGUGCGAAAGCGUGGGGAGCAAACAGGG
rnacentral:rRNA from 1 species